AGACCCGAAACCCGGUGAUCUAGCCAUGGGCAGGUUGAAGGUUGGGUAACACUAACUGGAGGACCGAACCGACUAAUGUUGAAAAAUUAGCGGAUGACCUGUGGCUGGGGGUGAAAGGCCAAUCAAACCGGGAGAUAGCUGGUUCUCCCCGAAAGCUAUUUAGGUAGCGCCUCGUGAAUUCAUCUCCGGGGGUAGAGCACUGUUUCGGCUAGGGGGCCAUCCCGGCUUACCAACCCGAUGCAAACUGCGAAUACCGGAGAAUGUUAUCACGGGAGACACACGGCGGGUGCUAACGUCCGUCGUGAAGAGGGAAACAACCCAGACCGCCAGCUAAGGUCCCAAAGUCAUGGUUAAGUGGGAAACGAUGUGGGAAGGCCCAGACAGCCAGGAUGUUGGCUUAGAAGCAGCCAUCAUUUAAAGAAAGCGUAAUAGCUCACUGGUCGAGUCGGCCUGCGCGGAAGAUGUAACGGGGCUAAACCAUGCACCGAAGCUGCGGCAGCGACACUAUGUGUUGUUGGGUAGGGGAGCGUUCUGUAAGCCUGUGAAGGUGGCCUGUGAGGGUUGCUGGAGGUAUCAGAAGUGCGAAUGCUGACAUAAGUAACGAUAAAGCGGGUGAAAAGCCCGCUCGCCGGAAGACCAAGGGUUCCUGUCCAACGUUAAUCGGGGCAGGGUGAGUCGACCCCUAAGGCGAGGCCGAAAGGCGUAGUCGAUGGGAAACGGGUUAAUAUUCCCGUACUUGGUGUUACUGCGAAGGGGGGACGGAGAAGGCUAUGUUGGCCGGGCGACGGUUGUCCCGGUUUAAGCGUGUAGGUGUGUGUUCCAGGUAAAUCCGGUUCACUUUAACACUGAGGCGUGAUGACGAGGCACUACGGUGCUGAAGCAACAAAUGCCCUGCUUCCAGGAAAAGCCUCUAAGCAUCAGGUAACAUCAAAUCGUACCCCAAACCGACACAGGUGGUCAGGUAGAGAAUACCAAGGCGCUUGAGAGAACUCGGGUGAAGGAACUAGGCAAAAUGGUGCCGUAACUUCGGGAGAAGGCACGCUGACACGUAGGUGAAGUGAUUUACUCAUGGAGCUGAAGUCAGUCGAAGAUACCAGCUGGCUGCAACUGUUUAUUAAAAACACAGCACUGUGCAAACACGAAAGUGGACGUAUACGGUGUGACGCCUGCCCGGUGCCGGAAGGUUAAUUGAUGGGGUCAGCGCAAGCGAAGCUCCUGAUCGAAGCCCCGGUAAACGGCGGCCGUAACUAUAACGGUCCUAAGGUAGCGAAAUUCCUUGUCGGGUAAGUUCCGACCUGCACGAAUGGCGUAAUGAUGGCCAGGCUGUCUCCACCCGAGACUCAGUGAAAUUGAACUCGCUGUGAAGAUGCAGUGUACCCGCGGCAAGACGGAAAGACCCCGUGAACCUUUACUAUAGCUUGACACUGAACAUUGAGCCUUGAUGUGUAGGAUAGGUGGGAGGCUUUGAAGUGUGGACGCCAGUCUGCAUGGAGCCGACCUUGAAAUACCACCCUUUAAUGUUUGAUGUUCUAACGUGGACCCGUGAUCCGGGUUGCGGACAGUGUCUGGUGGGUAGUUUGACUGGGGCGGUCUCCUCCUAAAGAGUAACGGAGGAGCACGAAGGUUGGCUAAUCCUGGUCGGACAUCAGGAGGUUAGUGCAAUGGCAUAAGCCAGCUUGACUGCGAGCGUGACGGCGCGAGCAGGUGCGAAAGCAGGUCAUAGUGAUCCGGUGGUUCUGAAUGGAAGGGCCAUCGCUCAACGGAUAAAAGGUACUCCGGGGAUAACAGGCUGAUACCGCCCAAGAGUUCAUAUCGACGGCGGUGUUUGGCACCUCGAUGUCGGCUCAUCACAUCCUGGGGCUGAAGUAGGUCCCAAGGGUAUGGCUGUUCGCCAUUUAAAGUGGUACGCGAGCUGGGUUUAGAACGUCGUGAGACAGUUCGGUCCCUAUCUGCCGUGGGCGCUGGAGAACUGAGGGGGGCUGCUCCUAGUACGAGAGGACCGGAGUGGACGCAUCACUGGUGUUCGGGUUGUCAUGCCAAUGGCACUGCCCGGUAGCUAAAUGCGGAAGAGAUAAGUGCUGAAAGCAUCUAAGCACGAAACUUGCCCCGAGA
rnacentral:rRNA from 1 species